UACGUAGGGGGCGAGCGUUGUCCGGAGUUACUGGGCGUAAAGCGCUUGUAGGCGGUUCACCAAGUUUGGGGUGACAGUUGCCGACUUAAUCGGCAAAGUGCCUCAAAGACUGGCGGACUUGAGGGCCGCAGAGGGACGUGGAACUCCAGGUGUAGUGGUGAAAUGCGUAGAUAUCUGGAAGAACACCAAAGGCGAAGGCAGUGUCCUGGGUGGUCGCUGACGCUGAGAGGCGAAAGCCUGGGGAGCGAACGGG
rnacentral:rRNA from 1 species